GUGCCAGCCGCCGCGGUAAGACGUAGGUGGCAAGCGUUAUCCGGAUUUACUGGGCGUAAAGCGUACGUAGGCGGCGCCGUUAGUCUGCCGUGAAAUCUCCCGGCUCAACCGGGAGCGGCCGGUGGAAACUGCGGCGCUGGAGGGGCGUAGAGGCAAGCGGAAUUCCCGGAGUAGUGGUGGAAUGCGUAGAUACCGGGAGGAACACCAGUGGCGCAAGCGGCUUGCCAGACGCAUCCUGACGCUGAGGUACGAAAGCGUGGGUAGCGAACCGGAUUAGAUACCCGGGUAGUCCACGCCGUAAACGAUGGAUGCUAGUCGUGGGGGGUAUCGACCCCCUCUGUGACGCAGCUAACGCAAUAAGCAUCCCGCCUGGGGAGUACGGCCGCAAGGCUAAAACUCAAAUAAAUUGACGG
rnacentral:rRNA from 1 species